GGAUGUCCUAUAUGAUAUUUACUUUUGCUUUUUAAUAUGACAUUGAUACUUCUAGAGUAUUUUUUGAAAAAAAACUUAAAGGGUAUAAAAGGUUCAUUAAUAUGAUAUUGAUUAGCAGAAACUAAAAGGAGGCUCACCAAAAUCUCUCCAAAUUCCUGCAUCAUACAACAAAUAUUUUCUAAUUGAGUGAUCUAAAAUAGGAUAAAAUCAUCUGCAUACCGACCUUCAUUUGAAUGUGAGGAUCUUUACAGCUGUCCCCACAAAAGUGCAUGCUUUGUUAUCUGGAGAAGUGAUUUGGCAAUAAAAAUGCACAAAGAGCAUAUGUUUGGGAAAUUAUCUGGAGAAGUAUUUGGCAAUAAAAAUGCACAAAGAGCAUAUGUUUGGGAACUUAAGCUGAUUCUAAUUUCCACGGAAACAACCGAACAUCAAGAAAGAUAUACCUGAUGUUGCAUAUAAAAGGACUGUUAUUCUGUUAUCCUACAUGGUUUUACACUGCCUAAAUUAACAAUUUUAAUAUGUCCAUCUGCAGCACGUAGCAAGUUUUCUGGAAGCCAUAAAUAUAAACUCAGACUUUCCUAAUAUAUUUCAUUGACAAAGGUGUCCAGGUAAUAAAAGCACCUUAAUAUCUCAAUGAAUCAUUCCCAUACUGUGUAUGUAUUCAAGAGCAUGUGCAACUUCAGCUGCAUAAAGACGCACGAACCAGCAGAAUCGGAACCUUUCUCAAUUAGUAGAUCACCAGUAUUAGAUGCAGUACUCUAAAAAACAUAGUGAUUCAUGUUGCACCCUUGAUGCAAAACAUGACCCAAUAUUGCACAGAACCUAAGAGCUAAUAUUUUUUUGUAGUCUCACGUAUUAUUGAUCAAAGACAUCCAGUGAAUUGACAGACUUUAAAAUAUUCCUUUCUAAUAAAAAAUCAAACAUGUUAUUGUCAUAAAAAUCUAAUCAGAUACAUAAGUAAAGCAGAGAUAAGUAAUCAUGUACCUGAUGAAAUUGCAGAAACACAUUUGCAAUCUAAUGACACAGCAAAUAGAAACAUGAUAUCAAUAGCAUAUAUAACUUAAGGAUUUGGUGCUUUUCAAUAAAUGAAUAUGCACCUUCAUAAACCAAAAACCUUUGGGCAUUUUUAGUGAAUUAGAAAUUAACAUAAAUAUCUGGCAUAAAAAGAUAACUCAACACAACAUACAUGAUGUUAUAUGCAGAAUGAGUUGGCAACCAAGGCUAACAAAGCAGGUGGCAAACUUGAAUUUUUACACUUAGCCAGUGCUAUAACUUUGAAUCAAGUAGUAAACUGAGAAUGGUAGAUAACCGUUGAUAGUUUGUCUAAGAUGCUAGUUUGCUUAUACUAAAGUUGGGGCCUUAUGUCCAACUUAAGGGGUUUUGCUUCUUUACUUGUACAUAUAUUUUCCCUGAUAAUAAAACUUUCUUAAUUACCAAAAAAGAAACAAUAACUCAACCUUAGGCCUAAUGGCUUCCUUACUCAAAAUUUCAGUUUACUCUAGAAUGGCCUGAAAUCGGCAUAUAUUAACUUGAAACAGUAGGCCCAAUUUAAAAGUCGGUAAAUGGCAUAAAACAGAAAAUACCAUCAACAAUGUACUGGUAGAUGCAACAAAGAAUAUUUGAAAUUUAUAUAUCAGCAGUCCUUUAUUUUUCCCCUGCUAAUCAAUCCAAUCACACUGUUUCACUAGUAAUGUUUCGUCUCCACAAACUAAUGUUAUAGGCUAGAAUGGUGGAUCACAAGAUAACUUUCCCAUUACCAUUUGCGAAUUAAAAGGUUUCACCAACCAGGCAUUAGUUGUUAAAUCAGGCUUUUAGCUCAUGAUGCAUCUAAAGUGCAGUAACCUUAGAAGCACUACAAAAUAGACAGAGAUCUCUACUAAAUUGGAUCAUAAAAUGCUUUAGUUUGAUGAAUUUGAGAGCAAAUAAUUGAAGAUUUUACUGUAGAUAUAAAUGAAAAAGAAGUAGAAACAAUACUUGAUAAGACAUGCUUGACAUGUUAUUGAUCAAUCAAUAACUGGUGGAAAAAUGAAGCUUAAAGUAACAAUUUGUCAUGUAAGCUACUUGCUUCUAGGUCAAAGCAUACAGAGAUGCCAAAUGACAUUCAAUGUAAUAAUUUUCCCGGGUAUAAUCACCCUACAUAUUGCCCGUACCAAUGAACAACACAACAGAAAAAUACUCCUAACAAUCGGUUAUAAUCACCCUACAUAUUGCCCGUACCAAUGAACAACACAACAGAAAAAUACUCCUAACAAAUAGAUUUUUUUGUUUACUGUGAACUAUUUUUACAUAAAACAUACAAUUAGAACGUAAGGAAAAUCAUAUUUGGUGAAAAAAAUGACAAAUGCAUGUUCAAGUCAAAGAAAACCCACUUUAAAUAUCAAAGUCUUAAGUUUUUCUUAAAAUGAAAAACGACACUUUAUUCUUCCUACUACAACUGGAGUUAGUUUAAUCACGAAUUUUUUUAUGAACUUCACCAGUUACCGGUAAACUCUCAAUUAACAUAAACUCAGACUUUCCUAAUAUAUUUCAUUGACAAAGGUGUCCAGGUAAUAAAAGCACCUUAAUAUCUCAAUGAAUCAUUCCCAUACUGUGUAUGUAUUCAAGAGCAUGUGCAACUUCAGCUGCAUAAAGAGAAAAAGUCUAUUGACAUUGGGACCCGAUAGGAGUGACUAAAUUAUAUCCACCACUUCUAGCUCUGAGUCAUUUUAUGGCACGGACUUGACUUUACUUGAACAGAACCAAAAUUCACCAUGCGACUAAAAAUAUUAGUUAAUGACAAGGACCACUAUCCUUAGAAGCCAUUUCACCCAAACAUUGCUAACAACAAAAAUAAAUAUUUAUUCUGAUACAUGCACUGACUAUCUUUUCCGAAAAAAUCGAAGCAAAAGAGAUACCAAUUAAAUGUUGACCUGCAUGUAAGAAAUUCAACAAAAAAUCCAAAUUAUGAAGAAAACCAAAUCAGAUCUAUCAAAAUCCAAUCCGAUCACCAGGAAAUGGGUGCAACAAAGAAUGGAAGAGAAUGAAGUAAAAUUCACCAAGUCGCAAGUAUAGCAGUGUAAGAUCCGACGUCAUAAAAAACCACAUACCCAUCAACAAAAGAAUUUCACAAAUUGAAAGAUCGAAGAACAGAGAAAAACUUAGAAGAAAGUUGAGAUACUCACAGACAGAGAUGGGUCUUUGAAGCAGCGAACGAGGGAAAAGUUGUCAACACUGAAGUUGAGC
rnacentral:lncRNA from 1 species